UGUGCUUUGGAUAAAAUCCAAAAAUCAUAAUUGACAUCCUAUUCAUCAUAAUUGACAUCUUAACCAUAUCUACUGCCAAUAUUUAGGAGUCAUAAUUGAUCCAUCUGAUGGCUUAAUCAAUCCCGGUGGCUAUUUGUCCAUGCAACAAGGGAGGAAGCUGUGGGGAGGAACAAGUUGGGGGACUGGUAAAAGUAAAUUUUC
rnacentral:lncRNA from 1 species